AUUUAUGACCUUGUCACUGUGAACAUACCUGAUCUCCUCUGACCUCUGCAGCUAACAGGUUAGACCUAGUUAGUACUUGGAUGGGAAACCUCUUGGGAAUACCAGGUGCUGUAGCCU
rnacentral:rRNA from 1 species